GACGAACGCUGGCGGCGCGCCUAACACAUGCAAGUCGAGCGGGAAGCUUUUUAAGGAUUCUUCGGAUGAAUUAAAAAGUGGAGAGCGGCGGACGGGUGAGUAACGCGUGAGAAACCUGCCCUAUACAGGGGGAUAGCCAUUGGAAACGAUGAUUAAUACCCCAUAUGACCACAGUAUCGCAUGAUACAGCGGUGAAAACUCCGGUGGUAUAGGAUGGUCUCGCGUCUGAUUAGCUAGUUGGUGGGGUAACGGCCUACCAAGGCGACGAUCAGUAGCCGGCCUGAGAGGGUGACCGGCCACACUGGAACUGAGACACGGUCCAGACUCCUACGGGAGGCAGCAGUGGGGAAUAUUGCACAAUGGGCGCAAGCCUGAUGCAGCAACGCCGCGUGAGCGAAGAAGGUCUUUCGGAUCGUAAAAGCUCUUUCUUAGGGAGAAAAUGACGGUACCUAAGGAAUAAGCACCGGCUAAAUACGUGCC
rnacentral:rRNA from 1 species